rnacentral:rRNA from 1 species
AUGAUUCCAAUUACGUGGCCGUUUGCGACUUGGGGGCUUGAUAUGGUUGGACCCUUCAAGCGAUCCAAGGACAAAAAGACCCAUCUGUUAUUAGCAGUUGAUAAAUUCACCAAAUGGGUGGAGGCAGAGCCAAUCAGCAAGUGUGAUGCAUCCACAGCGGUUCAAUUCAUCAAAAAGGUGAUAUUCCGGUUUGACUUUCCACACAGCAUUAUAACUGAUAAUGGUACUAACCUGUCAAAAGGGGAGAUGGAAGAAUUUUGUCAACGUGAGCACAUCCAGCUUGAUCUAGCAUCGGUGGCUCACCCCUAG